rnacentral:lncRNA from 1 species
GGAUAAAAUAUAAACUUAUUAAUUUGUAAAGCAAAUGUACCUGUCAAAACAUUAAUAUACUUAGAUGAGUCAACUAUUUCUAAUAUAAGACAAAAAACAGUCACAGCUUAAUAACCAAUAAUAGAUUAAAAUAAACGUAACAUAUAAGAUGAUGAAAAUUACGAUUACCAUUUGAAAAUAAAAUGGUAGUGUGUAGAUAAUUAGAGAGGAACAAAACAACAACUGAUCCCUAGAGUUUCGGUUAGGAAGUUGAUUCGACAAAAACUGAAAUAAACGAUUUGAAAAAAGAAAAUGACGGUUCGCGAGAUCCCGAUUUUUCAAAGACAUGGUAAAGUGUCUUACGAAAUCUUGAAGCUAACUGAACGAAAUACUACCAUCUAGGUGCACUUAAUUAAUUCAAAUUGCUACCUUUUACAAAUAAAGCAAAAUUGACAUAAGCAGUGUAA